rnacentral:rRNA from 1 species
UAGGGAAUCUUCGGCAAUGGGGGCAACCCUGACCGAGCAACGCCGCGUGAGUGAAGAAGGUUUUCGGAUCGUAAAGCUCUGUUGUAAGAGAAGAACGAGUGUGAGAGUGGAAAGUUCACACUGUGACGGUAACUUACCAGAAAGGGACGGCUAACUACGUGCCAGCAGCCGCGGUAAUGCGUAGGUCCCGAGCGUUAUCCGGAUUUAUUGGGCGUAAAGCGAGCGCAGGCGGUUAGAUAAGUCUGAAGUUAAAGGCUGUGGCUUAACCAUAGUACGCUUUGGAAACUGUUUAACUUGAGUGCAGAAGGGGAGAGUGGAAUUCCAUGUGUAGCGGUGAAAUGCGUAGAUAUAUGGAGGAACACCGGUGGCGAAAGCGGCUCUCUGGUCUGUAACUGACGCUGAGGCUCGAAAGCGUGGGGAGCAAACAGGAUUAGAUACCCUGGUAGUCCACGCCGUAAACGAUGAGUGCUAGGUGUUGGGUCCUUUCCGGGAUUCAGUGCCGCAGCUAACGCAUUAAGCACUCCGCCUGGGGAGUACGACCGCAAGGUUG